rnacentral:lncRNA from 1 species
GAAUACCAUAUACAUUUUAAUAAGGGUAUUUAUCCUACCCUCUACAGAGUUUCUUCCAAAUUAGUGAAGAAAAUUGUUAUAAAUAACUAAUAAUUAUUUUAGAUAUUUAUUUUACACAUUUCAAAAAAUUUGAAUGAUUCAGAGAAGAAUCCAGAAGAAUAUUUGGUUAAGAAAUUACCAGUAUACAGUGGCGUACGCGCCAUAUUAUAAAGGGUUACAACUCUCUUACAUUGAAUAAUUUUGUACCUUUUUACAAAAGUUGUAUGUUUUACAUAUUUUAAAUAUUAAUUUUAAUACCAGUCUCGAACUGAAUAUUUCCUGUAAUCCUAUUGUAUAUAAUUGUAGUAAUUCAGGGUGAGUUAUUGGGGGAAAAGUGAUGCCAAUCCUAAAUAUUCUUGCCCAGCCUAUCUGUGAUAAAACUUAAUGUAGCUUACCGAGUGUAUAGAAUAAGUAAGGUUAUUGAAAAAUAUAUAAAAACGUUCAGUUGGAGCUCAUUUUCUCCAUGGACAAUUUUGUAAAUGUACAGAUCGCCAGAAAUAUCCGGAACCGCCAAGGUCUGAGCGAUCGAAAACUUUGAAUAUGCGACGUUGUCAGAUCAAUCGGAUUUAAGAGGGUUUUCGGAUUUUUAUUUGUUACCUUUUUCACAGUAAAAUUUCUUUCUGCUUCUUACGUAAAUUUUAGAACAUUGUGUACAAUUUCACACGAUUUUGUACUUAGUGUUUUAUUUUUUACGGCACUUGUAAUAUUCAUAUUUAUUUAAAAAAAAAUUAAAUGUAUUCUAAAUAAACAACUAUUCCUCGAUUUUAUCUGGCAACGUCGCAAAGCCACUGAUUUCGUGCAAAAUGCAUUUUAAAUGGAUGUUUACUCUUUGCACCAAUGCGUUCAACCGAAGACCUCUCUCCUUGAUUUGCUACCUGAGUGACAUUCGCGGUGUCAGAUAUUACAGUUGUACAUUAGAUCUGCAAAUCUAGAUUUCAAUAUAACUUAUUUCUCUUUUGAGCAUUUUUUAGAUGUUUUUAUUUAUAAUUCUUUUGUUUGGAGUUUUUUGCUGACCUUCUGAGGAAACCCAUUUUUGUUGUCAGUAUUUGGUGUCUUGUUCAUGAAUUGAGUUGGUGAAACCAGAAUUCGUCUGUUAGCGAGCUUUUCAUAAGUGAAUAAAUGGGCAGCUUUUUUUCCAUUUUUUCAUUUUUAGUUUUUCUCUUUUUUUUUAUGUAUUGUGGUAGUACCUUUCUACGUUCAUUGUAAAAUGUUUUUCCAAUUAUAUUUUUUCCAAUUUAAACUUUUUUUUCAAAUUUUACAAUUUUUUUAAACUUAUUUUAGAUUAUUCUAGAAAAUGAGCUGGAACUGACGUUCUUUAAGAAAAUGUUUAGCACAAGUUACAUCAUGUUAGAUUUUAUUUUAUUUUUUUCUCGAAUAAUAGAACCAAAUCUCAGCGAAAAUCUCAUUUGUACGUAAUUUUUGUAUAGGAAUAGUAAGAAGGGGUUUCAAAAAUGUUAUUACUUAUUUUUUUUUGUUAUUAGCACUAAAACUGUGCCAUUUUCUACGAAGAGUGCCUUGUAAUUUUAUCAGACAUUUCCAUAUUAGUACAUUUAUAAAGAUUUUUAAUAAAGCUAUAUUUUAAAAAUA